AUGACUGAGGCCUUGAAUGACAAAUAUUUAGGACUGGCGGCCAAUGUGGGUUUAGAUAAAUCCGAUUGUUUCCAAUACUUAAUUGAUCGUAUUGUUCAGAGAAUUAGUGGCUGGAAGGAGAAACUUCUGUCGGCUGGAGGAAAGGAGAUCUUACUUAAAGCGGUUGUUCAAGCUAUUCCCACCUAUGCAAUGUCGGUCUUUAAAAUUCCUAAAAAAAUAUGCAAAGGAAUUAUUGACGCGAUGACGCAUUUCUGGUGGGGAGAUGAGGACAACCAAAGGAGGAUGAAUUGGAUGGCUUGGUGGAAAAUGUGUGUACCCAAGAACCAAGGAGGAAUGGGUUUUCGGGAUAUCCAUUGUUUCAAUUUGGCUAUGCUUGCUAAACAGGCUUGGCGUCUUCUCGAGAAUCUGGAUUCUCUAUGUGCUACUAUUUUGAGAGUCAAAUACUAUCCUGAUGGUGAUUUGUUGAACACUGACCUGAAGAAGGGAUCUUCCUUCACCUAG
rnacentral:rRNA from 1 species